rnacentral:rRNA from 1 species
AACGAACGCUGGCGGUAUGCCUAACACAUGCAAGUCGAACGGUAACAGGGACUUCGGUCCGCUGACGAGUGGCGAACGGGUGCGUGACACGUGGAUGACCUGUCCCGAGGCGGGGGAUAACGACUGGAAACAGUUGCUAAUACCGCAUGAUCUCCAAGGAGGAAAGGCUUCGGCCACCUUGGGAGGGGUCCGCGUCGGAUUAGCUUGUUGGUGAGGUAACGGCUCACCAAGGCGACGAUCCGUAGCUGGUCUGAGAGGAUGAUCAGCCACACUGGGACUGAGACACGGCCCAGACUCCUACGGGAGGCAGCAGUGGGGAAUAUUGCGCAAUGGGGGCAACCCUGACGCAGCAAUACCGCGUGAGUGACGAAGGCCUUCGGGUUGUAAAGCUCUUUUAGUGGGGAAGAUAGUGACGGUACCCACAGAAAAACUCCGGCUAACUCCGUGCCAGCAGCCGCGGUAAUU